UACGAAGGGUGCAAGCGUUACUCGGAAUUACUGGGCGUAAAGGGUGCGUAGGUGGUUUGUUAAGUCUGCUGUGAAAUCCCCGGGCUCAACCUGGGAAUGGCAGUGGAUACUGGCAAGCUAGAGUGCGGUAGAGGGUAGUGGAAUUCCCGGUGUAGCAGUGAAAUGACGUAGAGAUCGGGAGGAACACCAGUGGCGAAGGCGGCUACCUGGACCA
rnacentral:rRNA from 1 species